GACGAACCGUGCGAACGUUGUUCGGAUUCACUGGGCUUAAAGGGCGCGUAGGCGGCUUGUCAAGUCAGGGGUGAAAUCUUUCGGCUCAACCGGAAAACAGCUUCUGAUACUGGCAGGCUGGAGGGAGGUAGGGGCGGAUGGAACUUCCGGUGGAGCGGUGAAAUGCGUAGAUAUCGGAAGGAACGCCGGUGGCGAAAGCGAUCCGCUGGACCUCUUCUGACGCUGAUGCGCGAAAGCCAGGGGAGCAAACGGG
rnacentral:rRNA from 1 species